rnacentral:rRNA from 1 species
UACGUAGGGUGCAAGCGUUGUCCGGAAUUAUUGGGCGUAAAGAGCUCGUAGGCGGUUCGUCGCGUCGGCUGUGAAAACUCGGGGCUCAACUCCGAGCUUGCAGUCGAUACGGGCAGGCUAGAGUUCGGCAGGGGAGACUGGAAUUCCUGGUGUAGCGGUGAAAUGCGCAGAUAUCAGGAGGAACACCGGUGGCGAAGGCGGGUCUCUGGGCCGAUACUGACACUGAGGAGCGAAAGCGUGGGGAGCGAACAGG